GGGGGUGUACCGGCUUCGACUGGUACGGUCGAUUUGCAGGCUGCACGUGGAGCUGGGCCGGCUCCUAACAUUCGACCCAAAACUUUAAUUGCCGAAAACGACAAUUACGGCUACGCUUUAGCAGCAUAACCGCGUGGAACCGCCCCGCCGCUCCGAGGGACGGCUUCCGCGUCACAAACGGAGCUGGUUGAAAAAUGUCUUUCCGCGCAUUUUUCAAUAAGAUUUGCGGAAUACGGUGUGGCUGCCUGCCGCGAAGCAAAGCCAUUCCCGACAACCCAAUCCGCGGCUAAACGUGUAGAUGCUUGCCGGUUGCGUGCUAGGACGCGAGUUCAACUCUCGCCACCUCCAACC
rnacentral:tmRNA from 1 species